GGGGAAUUGUUCGCAAUGGGCGCAAGCCUGACGACGCAACGCCGCGUGGAGGACGAAGAUCUUCGGGUCGUAAACUCCUUUCGAUCGGGAAGAACGUUUCCGGGGUGAAUAAUCCCGGGAAGUGACGGUACCGAGAGAAGAAGCCCCGGCUAACUCCGUGCCAGCAGCCGCGGUAAUACGUAGGGUGCAAGCGUUAAUCGGAAUUACUGGGCGUAAAGCGUGCGCAGGCGGUUAUGUAAGACAGGUGUGAAAUCCCCGGGCUUAACCUGGGAACUGCAUUUGGGACUGCAAGGCUAGAGUGUGGCAGAGGAGACUGGAAUUCCUGGUGUAGCAGUGAAAUGCGUAGAUAUCAGGAGGAAUACCGAUGGCGAAGGCAGGUCUCUGGGCUGACACUGACGCUCAUGCACGAAAGCGUGGGGAGCAAAC
rnacentral:rRNA from 1 species